UACGAAGGGGGCUAGCGUUGUUCGGAUUUACUGGGCGUAAAGCGCACGUAGGCGGAUCGUUAAGUCAGGGGUGAAAUCCUGGGGCUCAACCCCAGAACUGCCUUUGAUACUGGCGAUCUCGAGUCCGGAAGAGGUGAGUGGAACUCCUAGUGUAGAGGUGGAAUUCGUAGAUAUUAGGAAGAACACCAGUGGCGAAGGCGGCUCACUGGUCCGGUACUGACGCUGAGGUGCGAAAGCGUGGGGAGCAAACAGG
rnacentral:rRNA from 1 species